rnacentral:rRNA from 1 species
GACAGAGGAUGCAAACGUUGCUCGGAUUUACUGGGCGUAAAGCGCGCGCAGGCGGUCCCGUAAGUCGGACGUGAAAGCCCAGGGCUCAACUCUGGAAAGUGCGUCUGAUACUGCGAGACUGGAGUACUGGAGAAGGGAGAGCGGGAAUUUCCCCGGUGUAGAGGUGAAAAUUUCGUAGAUAUCGGGGAGGAACACCAGUGGCGAAGGGCGGGCUCUCUG